rnacentral:tRNA from 1 species
GGCUAAGUCCUUGUUGUACUUGAGAAAAUUCUUGCGUAGCAUCGGGCUCAUAACCGGACGGUCCCUGGUUCGAUUCCAGGAGGGCCCA